GCGCAUAGUACCGUGAGGGAAAGGUGAAAAGGACCCCGGGAGGGGAGUGAAAGAGAACCUGAAACCGUGGACUUACAAGCGGUCAGAGCCUCUGAAGGGGGGUGAUGGCGUGCCUUUUGUAGAAUGAGCCUGCGAGUUACCGUAUUUGGCGAGGUUAAGGGCCUGGAGGUCCGGAGCCGAAGGGAAACCGAGUCCGAAACGGGCGAAGAGUCGAAUGCGGUAGACCCGAAACCAAGUGAUCUAGCCAUGGCCAGGCUGAAAGAGGAGUGAAAUCCUGUGGAGGGCCGAACCUAAAUCCGCUGAAAAGGGUUGGGAUGAGCUGUGGCUCGGAGUGAAAGGCUAACCAAACUUGGAGAUAGCUGGUACUCUCCGAAAUAGCUUUAGGGCUAGCGUCGAUGAAUAUGUAUGGGAGGUAGAGCACUGGAUAGGUGCGGGCCCUUCACCGGGUACCAAUCUUAACCAAACUCCGAAUGCCGAUACAGGAAUCACGGCAGUCAGACGGUAGCUGAUAAGGGCGAUCGUCAAAAGGGAAAGAGCCCAGACCGCCGGCUAAGGCCCCGAAGGUGUGCCAAGUGGGAAAGGAAGUAUGAUUGCAAAGACAGCCAGGAGGUUGGCUCAGAAGCAGCCACACCUUUAAAGAGUGCGUAACAGCUCACUGGUCGAGUAGUGAUGCGCCGAAAAUGUAACGGGGCUAAGCACACCGCCGAAGCCGCGGGAUUAUGCUGUUAGCAUAAUCGGUAGGAGAGCAUUGUAUGUACGGAAGAAGCAUGCUUGAGAAGGUAUGUGGACGGUAUACAAGAGAGAAUGCAGGCAUGAGUAACGAAAAGACGGGUGAGAUUCCCGUCCGCCGAAAGCCUAAGGUUUCCAGGGUAAAGGUAAUCUGCCCGAGGGUAAGUCGGCCCCUAAGGCGAGGGCGAAAGCCGUAGCCGAUGGGAAGCGGGUGAAUAUUCCCGCACCUUUGUAUGUCUCUUGAUGGGAUGACGCAUAGGGCGAAGCACAUCCGGGUGAUGGAAGUUCCCGGACGAAACAGCGAGCCGAAGAAGUCUCCAGGGAAAACCGGAGACGGAGGGAAGCUGCGAGCGAGCGAUGCCACGGCAAAGCGAAGUGUGUGUAGUCGUCGUGCCGAGAAAUAAUCUCUGGAGUACAGGCAUAUGAAGACCGUACCGUAAACCGACACAGGUAGGCGAGCUGAGUAUGCGCAGGCGCACGGAAGAAUCCGCGUUAAGGAACUCGGCAAAAUACAUACGUAACUUCGGGAGAAGUAUGGCCACCUAUAAGAGGGUGGUUGCAGAGAAAUGGCCCAUGCGACUGUUUACCAAAAACACAGGUCCAUGCGAACCGGCAACGGGAAGUAUAUGGACUGACACCUGCCCGGUGCUGGAAGGUCAAGGGGAGACGUUAGCGCAAGCGAAGCGUUGAACCCAAGCCCCAGUAAACGGCGGCCGUAACUAUAACGGUCCUAAGGUAGCGAAAUUCCUUGUCGGGUAAGUUCCGACCCGCACGAAUGGUGCAACGACAUGGGCGCUGUCUCAACGUGGAAUCCGGUGAAAUUGAAGUCUGGGUGAAGAUGCCCAGUACCCGUGGUCAGACGGGAAGACCCCGUGAACCUUUACUUCAACUUGGCAUUGGGAAGUGGUCAGGGAUGUGUAGCAUAGGUGGGAGGCGAAGAAGUGUGGGCGUCAGCCUGCGUGGAGCCACAGGUGAAAUACCACCCUUGCCUGUCUACUUUCCUAAGGGGAUCCGUGAUCCGGAUUUCCGACAUUGCCAGGCGGGAAGUUUGACUGGGGCGGUCGCCUCCAAAAUGGUAACGGAGGCGCGCGAAGGUCACCUUGGGAUGGUUGGGAAUCAUCCUGCAAGCGCAAAGGCACAAGGUGGCUUGACUGCGAGGCCGACAAGCCGAGCAGGUACGAAAGUAGGUCUUAGU
rnacentral:rRNA from 1 species